CGAGUGGCGGACGGGUGAGUAAUGCAUCGACUAUCCUGGAGUGGGGAUACGUACGAAAGUUACGCUAAUACCGCAUAUUCUGUGAGCAGGAAAGCAGGGCUCGCAAGACCUUGCGCUCUGGGGGCGGCGAUGUCGGAUUACUGGUUGGUGGGGUAAAGGCCUACCAAGGCGACGAUCCGUACGGGUCUGAAGGAUGAUCCGCACACUGGGACUGAACACGGCCAACUCCGACGGGAGGCAGCAGUGGGGAAUUUUGGACAAUGGGCGCAAGCCUGAUCCAGCCAUGCCGCGUGAGUGAAGAAGGCCUUCGGGUUGUAAAGCUCUUUCGGCCGGGAAGAAAUCGCAUGGGCGAAUACCCUGUGUGGAUGACGGUACCGGAACAAGAAGCACCGGUAAUACGUGCCACAGCGGGUAUACUAGGUGGCGAAGCCGUUAAAUCGGGAAUUUACCUGGGGGCGUAAAAGCCGGUGCGCAAGGCGGGGUGGGGUAAAGUUCAANAAUGGUGACAAUCCCCCCGGGGGUCCAACCCUUGGGNCAACUCUGGGCUUUUGGGAACAAUUGGCCCAAGAUGGGAAGGUUAGGGGCAACCAACGAGGGGGG
rnacentral:rRNA from 1 species